rnacentral:rRNA from 1 species
CCCUACGGGGCGCAGCAGGGAAUCUUCCACAAUGGGCGAAAGCCUGAUGGAGCAACGCCGCGUGGGUGAAGAAGGUCUUCGGAUCGUAAAACCCUGUUGUUAGAGAAGAAAGUGCGUGAGAGUAACUGUUCACGUUUCGGCGGUAUCUAACCAGAAAGCCACAGCUAACUACGUGCCAGCAGCCGCGGUAAUACGUAGGUGGCAAGCGUUAUCCGGAUUUAUUGGGCGUAAAGGGAACGCAGGCGGUCUUUUAAGUCUGAUGUGAAAGCCUUCGGCUUAACCGGAGUAGUGCAUUGGAAACUGGG